rnacentral:rRNA from 1 species
AGUGAACGCUGGCGGUAGGCCUAACACAUGCAAGUCGAGCGGCAGCACAGUAAGAGCUUGCUCUUACGGGUGGCGAGUGGCGGACGGGUGAGGAAUACAUCGGAAUCUACUUUUUCGUGGGGGAUAACGUAGGGAAACUUACGCUAAUACCGCAUACGACCUACGGGUGAAAGCAGGGGAUCUUCGGACCUUGCGCGAUUGAAUGAGCCGAUGUCGGAUUAGCUAGUUGGCGGGGUAAAGGCCCACCAAGGCGACGAUCCGUAGCUGGUCUGAGAGGAUGGUCAGCCACACUGGAAGUGAGACACGGUCCAGACUCCUACGGGAGGCAGCAGUGGGGAAUAUUGGACAAUGGGCGCAAGCCUGAUCCAGCCAUACCGCGUGGGUGAAGAAGGCCUUCGGGUUGUAAAGACCUUUUGUUGGGAAAGAAAAGCAGCAGGUUAAUACCCCGCUGUUCUGACGGUACCCAAAGAAUAAGCACCGGCUAACUUCGUG